ACUUUCAAAACAUGUGUGGACUUACAUGUUGAUUGAGAAUUGUCCCUUUAAAAAAGAAAAUUUUGAGAGGGACUUCUGAGGAACAGUGCAGUGUUUAGGGGUUUUAGGGAAGACUUCUCAUAAAGACUAAGUUUAACUGAGUCAUGAGUUUAAAGAGUUAAGGGGCAGGGGAGGUUGGGAGGCAAGGGAGGUGUAGGUAGUAGGAACAGCAUGUGUACAAGGCAUGUUUGAGAGAGCUACAAGUAGUUUGCAAAAUUUUGAUGGUGUCUGAUGUGUAGGGGAGGGUAGUUGAGGAGAUGAGAUCUCAGUCAAAAAACAGCCAGACCACUGUCAUUAAACUGUAGAUAACCAGUUCAGUGUUUCCCACAUUUGAAAACAGAGAAACUAUGUUUUAAAUUUAAUACUGAUAAGAUGAAAUUGUGCUUUUGCUAUGUCCUGAUAUGUGUUCUGUUCCUUUGUGUAGACACCUUUGACAUAGUCAACAGAAACCAAUGAAUAAGUAAGUAAAUGCAGGAAAAUUGAUUGAUAGGUCUAAAUAAAUCAUUUUUGUAUGAACUGCUUGCAUUAGUGGAUUUAUUAUGUUAGUGUUUAUUAAUAUCUUGUGGAAUAUAGAGCCAGUUAUCUCCAGUUCAGUUGUGCUUUUCUUCCACUCAUCCUUGUUCCUCCCUCCCCCCUGCCCCCAACCAUCCAAAGCAAACACACCAAAAAAGAAAAGGAAGAAAGGCAGCAUGGUGCUAUCUGUACCAUGGUGAAAAUCCUGGUACUCUCUGGGUUUUUGUUUUGUUUUGCUUGGUUUUAUUUUUGUUUUUAUUUUUUAAUGCUUAUUUAUUUUUGAGAGAGAGACAGAGUGUGAAUGGGGGAGGGGCAGAGAGAGGGAGAUAGAGAAUCUGAAACAGGCUCCAGGCUCUGAGCUGUCAGCACAGAGCCCAAUGCAGGGCUUGAACUUGGCACUGGCAAGAUCAUGACCUGAGCUGAAGUUGGUUGCUUAACUGACUGAGCCACCCAGGUGGCCCUGCUUUGAUUUUUAAAAAAUGUUUAUUUAUUUUGAGAGAGAGCAUGCAAGCAGGGGAGGGAAAGAGAGAGAGGGAGAGGGAGGGAGGGAGGGAGGGGGAGCGAGAGAGAGAGAGAGAGAGAGAGAGAGAGAGAGAGAGAGAGAGAGAAUCCCAGGCAGGUUCUGUGCUGCCAGCGCAGAGCCUUUCAUGGGCCUCAAUCCCACGAAGUGAGAUCACAACCUUAGCUGAAAUCGAGUGGCACCCUCAACCAGCUGAGCCAUCCAGGCGCCCCUGUUUUGCUUUGAUUUUGAGUGAAGGGGUGCGAUGACUUAAGGUGAGAGGAGAAGUACAUAUUUACAUCACUGAGAAGAAUUGCAAUAAAACAUUACUUUUACAGUUAGAAGUCCUAGAAAAAAUUUGCUUCCACCAAGAUGUUUUGACUUCAUGAACAGUAUAAAUCGUAUAAUGAUCUUGUUUUUUUAAUCUUUGUGGCUUCAUGGUGAUCAAAGCCAAACUAUGGUUCCAAUUUAUUAAUUAGUACUGUGUGGUCUCUGUGAUCUGUGUAUUAAUGUCCUUCCUUUAUAUUAGUGGAUAUCCUGACUUUUUUCUGUGUAUUUUGCCGUUUUAUACACAUUUUUUGUAUUGAUACAAUAAUAGCUAAUGACUUUUCCCCAGACCAAUGAAAUUAUAAUCUUUUUUUUUUUUUUUAGUUUAAAUGCAUUUUAUUUUUAAACAACCUACAUGAAUGUUUUCUUAAAAAAAUAUGAAAUGCUUCACGAAUUUGUGUGUCAUCCUUGUUCAGGGCCAUGCUAAUCUCUGUAUCGUUCUGAUUUUAGUAUAUGUGCUGCCGAAGCAAGCAUGAAAUUAUAAUCUUUUAAGGGGGGAAAUGAGGAUGAUAAAGUUCAGGCCUCAGGAUUAAAAAAAAACUCAUCAGGAGGUGUUGCUAUCCUCCUGGGGUUGAGAAUCACUCAUUCUAGAGCAGGAUGUUUUCAGGAAAGGGCAGGAUAGUAAUUAUUUUAGGCAUUGCAGGCUGUAUUGUCUGUCAUAACUAUUCAACUUUGCCUUUGUAGUAAGAAAGCCAUAGAUAUGUAAAUUAAUAGAUAUGACUGUGUUCUAAUAAAACUUUGCAAAAACAGGAGCAAGUAUCUAUUUAUUAAAAAAAAUUUUUUUUAAAUUUAUUUAUUUUGAGAGAGAGAGUGAGCAGGGGAGGGACAGAAAGGGAGAGAGAGAAUCCCAAGUAGGCUCCACACUGUCAGCACGUAGCCUGACGCGGAGCUCAAACUCACAAACUAUGAGAUCAUGACCUGAGCCGAAACCAAAAGUUGGACACUUAAUUGACUGAGCCACCCAGGCGCCCCCAGGAGCAAGUAUUUAGCCUGAGGGUCAUAGUUUAUAGAGGUCUCUUCUACAGCCUGAACUUUAGUUGCUGUGCUAUACUGCUGAUGGACCAAAACUGUUUGAAGUAACAUACUGACGGAAAUGGAUUUAUUUCUUUUUUAAAUAGACUUCUUUAGAGUAGUUUUAAGUUCACAGCAAAACUGAGUGGAAGGUACAGAGAUUUCCCAUAUGCUUUCUACCCCUACACAUGCAUAACCUCCCGCAUCAUCAACAUUCCUCACCAGGAUGGUUUGUUUGUUACGGUUGAUGAAACUGCAUUGAUUCAUCAUUAUCACCCAGAGUCUGUAAUUUACUAGUUUCCAUAGUUUAGGGUUAACUCUUGGUGUUGUACUUUCUCUAGGUUUUGACAAAUACAUGAUGACAGCUGUCCACCAUUAUAGCAUCAUACACAGUAGUUCCAUUGCCUUAAAAAUCCUCUGUGCUUCACCUAUUCAUGCUCUAUUCUAACCCCAGGCAGUCAGUGAUCCUUUUUACUGUCACCAUAGGUCUGCUUUUUCAAGAAGAUCAUAUAGUGAUUAGAAUCAUACGGUAUAUAGCCUCUUCAGAUUGGCUUCUUUCACACAGUAAUAUGCGUUUAAAGUGUCUCCAUGUCCUUUCCUAUCUUGAUAGCUCAUUUGUUUUUAGCUCUGAAUAAUAGUGCGUUGUUUGAAUGUACUGCUUUACUUAUCCAUUCACCCACUGAAGGACGUCUUGGUUGCUUCCAAGUUUUGGAAGUUUGAGUAAAAGUUGCUAUAAACAUUUUUGUGCAGGUUUUUAUGUGUACAUAAGUUUUCAGUUCGAAAGUGGCUGUACCAUUUUGCAUUCCCACCAUUGAUGAAUGAAAUUUCAAGUUGCUCCAUAUCUUUAUCAGCAUUCGAUGUUGUCAGUGUUCUGGAUUUUGGCCAUUCUAAUAUUUAGUCAUAGCUUGUUUUAAUUUGCAUUCCCCGUGAGAUGUGAUGUGGAACAUAUUUUCAUAGGCUUAUUUUCUGUGUGUUUUCUUUGAUGAUGGUGGUAAGGUCUUUAGCCCAUUUUUAAUUGGAUUGUUUGUUUUCUUAUUGUUGAAUUUUAAGAGUUCUUUGUACUCUGUGGAUAAUAAUUGUUAUCAAGUAUGUUUUGCAAGUAUUUUCUUCCAUUCUGUGUCUUGUCUUGACAGUGUCUUGUGGGCAGAAAUAUUUAAUUUAAUUUUUAAGAAAUUUUUAAUUUUAAUGAAGUCUAGCUUGUUAAUUCUUUUAGAGAUUAUGUCUUUAAUGUUGUAUCUAAAAAGUCAUUGCUAUUGGACACCUGGGUGGCUCAGUCAGUUAAGCAUCUGACUCUUGGUUUCAGCUCAGGUCAUGAUCUCAUGGUUUGUGAGAUCAGGCCCUGCUUGGGGCUUUGCACUCACAGCACAGCACGGAGCCUGCUUGGGAUUUGUUCUUUGCCUCUCUCCCACUCCCCUCUCUUUUCUCAAAAUAAAUAAGUAAAACUUGAAAAAAAAAAAAGUCAUUUCCAAACCCAAGGUCAUUUAGAUUUUCUUCUCUGUUAUCUUCUAGGAGUUUUACAGUUUUGGAUUUUACAUUUAAGUAGGACUGUGAUACAUUUAUUUUUAAGUUUAUUAAUUUUUGAGAGAGAGCACAUGAGUGGGAGAGGGGUGGGGGGAGUUACAGAGAAUCCAAAGUGGGCUCACGCUGUUAGCACAGAGUCCUGCGUGGGGCUUGAACCCACAAACUGUGAGAUUGUGAUCCAAGCUGAAGUCGGAGGCUUAACCUGCUGAACCACUCAGGCGAUCCAGGAGUGUGAUAAAUUGUUGUGAAGGGUAUCAGGUCUUUGUUUAGAUUCAUUUUUUUGCGCAUGGAUGUCCAUCUGUUCCAGUACCAUUUUUUGAAAAGAUUUUCUUGCUUCGUUGUAUUGUCUUUGCUCCCUUAUCAAAGAUCAAUUGACUAAUUAUAUGGGCCUAUUUAUGGAUUCUGUUUUGUUCUUUUGAUCUGUAUUUUUGUUCUGCCAGUGUCAUACUGUUUUGACUACUGUAGCUUUAUAGUAAGUCUUGAAGUUGGAUAGCGUCAGUUCUUCAAUUUUGUUCUCAAAAUUAUGUGUUGACUAUUCUGAGUCUUUUGUCUCUCCAUCUAAAAUUUAUUAAAAAUUUUCCAGGUUCAUUGAGAUAUAAUUGACAUGCAACAUUGUGUAAAUUUGAGGUGUACAGCAUGGUGAGUUGAUACAAGUAUACAUUACAAAGUGAUUACCGUAAUAGGGUUAGUUAACACCUCCAUCAUCUCACAUAUUUACUACUUUGUUUUGUGGUAAGAGCCUUUAUGAUCUACUCUCAGCAACUUUUCAGGUAUAUGGUACAGUAUUGUUAAAUCACUGUUGUUACCAUGCUGUACCUUAGAUUCCCAGGACUUACUCAUCUCAUAACUGGAAGUUUGUACCCUUCAUCAGCAUCUCCCCAUUUCUCCCAUCACCACCCUUGGCAACUGCCAUAAACUCUCUGUUUCUUUGAGUUUGGCUUUUUUUGAUUCUACUUUGUCACAAAUGGCAGGAUUUCCUAUUUUUCAUGGCUGAAAAUAUUUCUCUGUGGGUGUUUGUAUGUGCUACAUCUUUAUUCAUCUGUAGAUGGACACUUUAGUUUGUUUCUAUACCUUGGCUAAUAGGAAUAAUACUGCAGUGAAAUAGGAGUGAAAGUAUCUCUUCAAGAUCCUGGUUUCAUUUCCUUUGGAAAUGUAUCUAAAAAUGGGAUUUCUGGAUCAUAUAGUAGUUCUGUUUUUAUUUUUUUCAGGAAACUCCUUACUGUCUUCCAUGUGACUGCACCAGUUUACAUCCCACCCACUAAGCACAAGGUUUCCCUUUCCUCCACAUCCUCACCAACACUUGUUAUGUCUUUUCUUUUUGAUGAUAGCCAUCCUGACAGAUGUGAAGUGAUAUCUCAUUAUAGUUUUGAUUUGCAUUUUUAUUUCUUAAGGUAUUCCCUGCCUUUUUUGUUCUUUUUUU